rnacentral:rRNA from 1 species
GAUGAACGCUGGCGGCGUGCCUAAUACAUGCAAGUCGAGCGCAUGGAUGAGCCGCUUGCCUUUCAGAUGUUAGCGGCGGACGGGUGAGUAACACGUGGAUAACCUACCUAAACGUCUGGGAUAACUUCGGGAAACCGGAGCUAACACCGGCUGAUAUUUCAUACCGCUUGGUUCCAAAGUGAAAGAGGGUCUUGCUGGCACUCAUAGAUGGAUCCGCGCUGCAUUAGCUAGUUGGUAAGGUAACGGCUUACCAAGGCAACGAUGCAUAGCCGACCUGAGAGGGUGAUCGGCCACACUGGAACUGAGACACGGUCCAGACUCCUACGGGAGGCAGCAGUAGGGAAUCUUCCGCAAUGGGCGAAAGCCUGACGGAGCAACGCCGCGUGAGUGAUGAAGGUCUUCGGAUCGUAAAACUCUGUUAUUAGGGAAGAACAUAUGUGUAAGUAACUGUGCACAUCUUGACGGUACCUAAUCAGAAAGCCACGGCUAACUACGUG